rnacentral:rRNA from 1 species
GGGGGCCUACAGCCUUACUGAUCCUAAUCAAACUCCGAAUACCGAGAAGUACUAUCCGGCAGACACACAGCGGAUGCUAACGUCCGUUGUGGAGAGGGAAACAACCCUGACCUACAGCUAAGGCCCCUAAUUCAUGGCUAAGUGGGAAAGCAGGUGAGACGACCAAAACAACCAGGAGGUUGGCUUAGAAGCAGCCAUCCUUUAAAGAUAGCGUAACAGCUCACUGGUCUAAAUAAGUUGUCUUGCGGCGAAGAUGUACCGGGGCUCAAGCCAUGAGCCGAAGCUUAGGGUGUGCAUUUAUGCACGCGGUAGCAGAGCGUAGUGUGACAUAGUUCCAUUCCUCAUUAGCAUCUUCGGAUGCAUUUGAGGAUCGGAGCUUUCGAUGAAGCGGGCGUGUGAGCGAUCCCGUGGAGAGAUCACUAGUGAGAAUGAUGACAUGAGUAGCGACAAAGGGGGUGAGAGACCCCCUCGCCGAAAAUCCAAGGGUUCCUGCUUAAAGCUAAUCUGAGCAGGGUAAGCCGGCCCCUAAGCCGAGGCCGAAAGGCGUAGGCGAUGGGAACCAGGUUAAUAUUCCUGGGCCGUGGAGUGGUGACGGAUCUCGAAGGUAGUUCAUCCUUAUCGGAUUGAAUGGGCUGCUUAGAGGUUCCUGGAAAUAGCCCUCCUAUAAGACCGUACCCUAAACCGACACAGGUGGAUAGGUAGAGUAUACCAAGGCGCUUGAGAGAACGAUGUUGAAGGAACUCGGCAAAAUACCUCCGUAAGUUCGCGAGAAGGAGGCCCAGUUUCUACGCAAGUAUUGACUGGGGGCACAAACUAGGGGGUGGCGACUGUUUACUAAAAACACAGGGCUCUGCGAAGUCGCAAGACGACGUAUAGGGUCUGACGCCUGCCCGGUGCCUGAAGGUUAAAAGGAGGAGUGCAAGCUCCGAAUUGAAGCCCAGGUAAACGGCGGCCGUAACUAUAACGGUCCUAAGGUAGCGAAAUUCCUUGUCGGGUAAGUUCCGACCUGCACGAAUGGCGUAACGACUUCCCCGCUGUCUCCAACAUCGACUCAGCGAAAUUGAAUUGCCUGUCAAGAUGCAGGCUUCCCGCGGUUAGACGGAAAGACCCCGUGCACCUUUACUACAGCUUCACACUGGCAUCAGACACAACAUGUGCAGAAUAGGUGGUAGGCUUUGAACUCAGGACGCCAGUUCUGAGGGAGCCUCCUUUGAGAUACCACCCUUGUUCUGUUUGAUGUCUAACCGCGGUCCGUUAUCCGGAUCCGGGACCCUGUGUGGCGGGUAGUUUGACUGGGGCGGUCGCCUCCUAAAGAGUAACGGAGGCGCGCGAAGGUUGGCUCAGAGCGGUCGGAAAUCGCUCGUUGAGUGCAAUGGCAGAAGCCAGCCUGACUGCGAGACUGACAAGUCGAGCAGAGUCGAAAGACGGCCAUAGUGAUCCGGUGGUCCCGAGUGGAAGGGCCAUCGCUCAACGGAUAAAAGGUACGCCGGGGAUAACAGGCUGAUACUGCCCAAGAGUCCAUAUCGACGGCAGUGUUUGGCACCUCGAUGUCGGCUCAUCUCAUCCUGGGGCUGGAGCAGGUCCCAAGGGUACGGCUGUUCGCCGUUUAAAGAGGUACGUGAGCUGGGUUUAGAACGUCGUGAGACAGUUCGGUCCCUAUCUGCCGUGGGUGUAGGAUACUUGAGAGGAGUUGCCCCUAGUACGAGAGGACCGGGGUGAACGUUCCACUGGUGGACCAGUUAUCGUGCCAACGGUAGUGCUGGGUAGCUAUGAACGGACAGGAUAACCGCUGAAGGCAUCUAAGCGGGAAGCCCCCCUCAAAACAAGGUAUCCCUGAGGACCGAGGAAGACUACCUCGUCGAUAGGCCAGAGGUGUAAGCGUGGUAACACGUUCAGCUGACUGGUACUAAUGGUCCGAUAGGCUUGAUUUGA